GAUUUGAAGAGCUUGCUCAGAUAUGACGAUGGACAUUGCAAAGAGUGGCGAACGGGUGAGUAACACGUGGGAAACCUACCUCUUAGCAGGGGAUAACAUUUGGAAACAGAUGCUAAUACCGUAUAACAAUGACAACCGCAUGGUUGUUAUUUAAAAGAUGGUUCUGCUAUCACUAAGAGAUGGUCCCGCGGUGCAUUAGCUAGUUGGUAAGGUAAUGGCUUACCAAGGCGAUGAUGCAUAGCCGAGUUGAGAGACUGAUCGGCCACAAUGGGACUGAGACACGGCCCAUACUCCUACGGGAGGCAGCAGUAGGGAAUCUUCCACAAUGGGCGAAAGCCUGAUGGAGCAACGCCGCGUGUGUGAUGAAGGGUUUCGGCUCGUAAAACACUGUUGUAAGAGAAGAAUGACAUUGAGAGUAACUGUUCAAUGUGUGACGGUAUCUUACCAGAAAGGAACGGCUAAAUACGUG
rnacentral:rRNA from 1 species